rnacentral:snRNA from 1 species
AGCAGCAGAGGUGAACACAUCCGUAUUCAACCCUCGCCUUUUACUAGAGUUGACCGUGCGUCUGCCUCAUUAAAUGCUGCGGUGCAAUUUUUCAGACAAAUGUCCUUCCCGGACUUGA